rnacentral:rRNA from 1 species
GACAGAGGAUGCAAGCGUUAUCCAGAAUGAUUCGGCGUAAAGCGCCUGUAGGUGGCUUUUUAAGUCCGCCGUUAAAUCCUAGGGCUCAACCCUGGACAGGCGGUGGAAACUACCAAGCUGGAGUACGGUAGGGGUAGAGGGAAUUUCCGGUGGAGCGGUGAAAUGCGUAGAGAUCGGAAAGAACACCAACGGCGAAAGCACUCUGCUGGGCCGACACUGACACUAAGAGACGAAAGCUAGGGGAACGAAUGGG